rnacentral:rRNA from 1 species
CCUACGGGGGGCAGCAGUAGGGAAUCUUCCACAAUGGGCGAAAGCCUGAUGGAGCAACGCCGCGUGGGUGAAGAAGGUCUUCGGAUCGUAAAACCCUGUUGUUAGAGAAGAAAGUGCGUGAGAGUAACUGUUCACGUUUCGACGGUAUCUAACCAGAAAGCCACGGCUAACUACGUGCCAGCAGCCGCGGUAAUACGUAGGUGGCAAGCGUUAUCCGGAUUUAUUGGGCGUAAAGGGAACGCAGGCGGUCUUUUAAGUCUGAUGUGAAAGGCUUCGGCUUAACCGGGGUAGUGCAUUGGAAACUGGGAGACUUGAGUGCAGAAGAGGUGAGUGGAACUCCAUGUGUAGCGGUGAAAUGCGUAGAUAUAUGGAAGAACACCAGUGGCGAAAGCGGCUCACUGGUCUGUAACUGACGCUGAGGUUCGAAAGCGUGGGUAGCAAACAGGAUUAGAUACCCGAGUAGUC